GAUGAACGCUAGCUGGAGGCUUAAUACAUGCAAGUCGAGCGGGAUUGGGUAGCAAUACCCCAUGAGAGCGGCGCACGGGUGAGUAACGCGUACACGACCUACCUCUAACAGGGGGAUAGCCCUGGGAAACUGGGAUUAAUACCGCAUAUUAUUUGGGAAAUAAAGGUUCCAAAUGAAAGCUGAGGCGGUUAGAGAUGGGUGUGCGUCUGAUUAGCUAGUUGGUAGGGUAACGGCCUACCAAGGCGAUGAUCAGUAGGGGGCGUGAGAGCGUGGACCCCCACACGGGUACUGAGACACGGACCCGACUCCUACGGGAGGCAGCAGUAAGGAAUAUUGGUCAAUGGGCGCAAGCCUGAACCAGCCAUCCAGCGUGCAGGAAGAAGGCCCUAUGGGUUGUAACUGCUUUUGUCAGGGAAUAAACCUGUGGAUUUUACUCCGCAGCUGAAGGUACCUGAAGAAUAAGCACCGGCUAACUCCGUGCCAGCAGCCGCGGUAAUACGGAGGGUGCGAGCGUUAUCCGGAAUU
rnacentral:rRNA from 1 species